AGUAGUCAAAUGUCUCAGAAGGAGGUGAAUGGAGCAGAUUGAGAGGGAGAAUGUGAAGAAACAGCAGGUGGCGCUAGUGCACUGUUUUAGUUUGGGAUCUGCUGUUAGAAGGAAGAAGAAGGAGAAAGCAGGUGUGUUUGUGCUUCACAAUCCUGUCCAGUUGGUGGCGCUGAUGCAUGAGAUCUGUUGUUAACUGGACUUUGAUUUUCUCCAAGAUGAAGUCGUGUCAGGUGACAAACAUCAAUCGUGAAGAUCGCACAGGUGUUUAACAGCGAUCACAAACCGGAAGUGUGUGAAAGACUUCUGGAUUCUGUUCCUGCAGCACAAGAUCGUCUGAAGUACUGCAGGUAAGUCUGAAUACUUUCACCAUUACACUUAUUUAGGAGAAUGAUGAACGCGUUUCAGAGCUGGAUGAAGCGGGAUUUGUUCAGUUAUAACUUAUACCUGUCACCGAAGUAACAAACCACAGAGAAACAGAGAGAUAUUAAUAAAACAAACCGAUUAAAGACGUGUUAAAACGUGUUAAAUUUUUUACAAGUCUUUACAAAUGUAGCAGUCAGAAUAAUUCUAAACGUGCUAUUUUAUUUCUCCUUCUUCCAGUUUAAGUCGCGAAACCGAAAGUAUUCAAAUCAAACCUGUUCUUCCGGGUAGAGAGACGAUAAACACGAGCAAAAUUAAUCUUUUUUUUUUUUCUUAAUGCUCCGAUAGUAAUGUGUAUGUAAAUAAAGAAGUGUGUUGUGAGUGAUCUGAAGAGAUUAUUACAUGGCAGUAUAUGUGUAGCAUAUUUUAUUUGUAUAUUGAUCGCUUGAUAACUCAAAGAUUCAGCACUAGUUAUUUUCUUCAUCAUGUCUUCCUCUGAACUCUCAUGAUCUUGAUCUCAUUGUCAUGUCCAGGUCAUGAUGAGCAUCUGAUCGUCUUCAGAGACACAAAGAUCUCAGUGUUGAGCUGUUCAUCUGCAGUCUGUCAGAGAAGAGAGGAAAGAUGAGUCUCUCACACAAACAGAGUGUAAGAUCAGGAUCACAUGUGUCUGUGAAGAGUGACCAGUCAAAGGAUGUCAUGCCAAACUUCAGUGAAGAAACAACACGAACCAAACGGUAUUUGAUCGGUUUCUUAUUUUUCAUUAAACAUAGACUGUCAGAACAUGUGUCAGUGAAUAAUUAUCAGAAAACUACUUGUAGUUCAUAAAUUUAUCGUUUAUUUUUAUUUUUUCUAAAAAUGCAGUAUUUCAUUUAUUCUAUUUACGAUCAGGCUUCAGUGUGAAACAUUAGAUCCAGAUUUACAGUCUCACAGAAAACACAAGAAUUUUACAGACAGUCUCCUGCAGAUCUUCCAGGUAAUAACAGACAUUUUCAAGAAUAUUUAAUUGUUAUAAUAAACAUAUGUAAUAGAAUAAGAGUGACAACUUUUAUUUCUCAUUUUUUUCUUAAGAACCCAUAAAAUAAGAAUUAGAACCAAUUUUUAUUUGUAUUUACAGCAAAUUAAUGUUUGUCUUACCUUGAUUUUUGAUGAAUAUUUUUAUUUGAAUAAAUAAGUUUGACCAAUUAUAGAUGAUUUUUUUUUUCUGUCAUUCAUUUUUGUCUGUCUUUGUAGGAUCUUGAGAGCAAAAUAAUCAAAUUUCUAAAGAAAGUUUAAGAAAAUAUUACAAAAAGAGGACUUGCAAUACUUUGUGAAGGACUUUAUUGAGAACAGAUGCAGUAUGAAAGAAGCAGCUCUUGAUCUCACGCUCUACUUCCUGAGAGAGAUGAAGCAAGAUGAAGCUGCUGAUACUCUAGAAGGUAAGAGACUCGUAAUCAUCUGUCAGAUUGUCACUUAUAAAUGUAGAGAGAAAAUAUGAUUAAACAAUAUCUGUGUUUUUGUUUCUGUUUCUAUGUAGCAGUGAUGCGCGGGUCAAUGUAUUAAUAACCCGCACCCGACCGACAUUUUCAACUAACCCGACCGCAACUCGGACCGCAAAAAAAGGAAAAGAAAAUAUUGUGCCCGACCCGCUUCCUGACCCGCAUUUUUUACAUUUAGUAAAUGCUCAUCAUAUCGUCAUUGGGCCAUAGACACAGGAACUAGGCAAAAAAAAAAAAAAAACAAACUCACAAAAAAUCCUUAAUAUAUUCACAUUUCGUCAAGAAUUAUAAAAAAAAAAAAAUCGUCAAUAAGCUCAUAAUUUGUUCUAAAAUAGUCUAGUCUGGCUAUGUCUACUUUGAUGUUUCUGUUCCGCAGAUAGUGAGGCUCUGGUUUGUUCCGAUCAGAGCUUGUGAGCGGAGAGUGCAUUUCUCCAUAUAUUACGCUCUGCUCGCUCAUUCCGUGGGGUCUCGCUCAACCCAGAAUGGCCUGCUGGUUCCAAAAUAUGCAAGGAGACAUUUAAUUGUUUAGUAAUAAACUGGUGUUUUCUGUGUUGCUGCAAAGAUGAA
ensembl:lncRNA